AUGAUAGGUCUAUUUUGGAAUUGUAGGGGGGCAGGAAAAACAGGGAUGAAAACCUGCCUAUCCCACAUUAUUAGUGACCAUUCCCUUGAUUUUGAGACUUUAAAAAAGAAUUUUCUGGAUAGUUAUUUCAGAAAACUUGACCCACAUAAUUUGUUUGAGUGGGAAUGGACCCCCUCAAUUGGUAAGGCCGGGGGCAUCCUAUGUGGGGUUAGAAAGGAGAAAUUUGAAGUAGUUGCUUGGAGGAAAGGUAGAUUCAUUCUUCAAGUAUCUCUGUAUGAUAUCAAUAUGAAGAAAAUUUGGACGCUCUGUACUUUUUAUGUAGUGGCCCACGAAUGUGAUAAAAGUGAAUUCCUUAGUGAAUUUGCUGAUUUUUGCUUCCAUAUUCAAACACCACUAUUGAUCGGAGGUGACUUCAAUAUCCUCAGGCAUAGUGGGGAGAAGAAUAAGAAAUGGCGGUGA
rnacentral:rRNA from 1 species